GCUUGAGUAGUUUAGUUUAAAGACGUUGAUUUGUGGUGUCAAAGAUGUAUUUUUUUACCUCUGGCU
rnacentral:tRNA from 1 species